UACUGUCACGGAGUCUACUACUUCUUGGUCUUCCAGCAAGAUUUACGGUCCCGUCCUCGUUGCUUUUUUCCAACCACGUGAACUUGAGCAAUUCAGGGUUUAAAGAGGAGAUUUUCAAACAUUAACAUGAUCCAGUCUCAAUAUACCCUCUCUUAAACACAACAUUGACUUCCACAAUAUCACUAAAGAACAUCUCAUUUAGGAACUAAUAAAGGGUAGAAUGCAUUUCCAUUACUGCAUUUCAGGAUAAAACCAACAAAAUCCACCUAUGUCUUCAACUGUAGGCUGGCCCUCCUUGAUGGGGGUGAUGUUCUCAGAUGAAGAGGCACUGCCCUUCCCAGACUGAAGCUUAACAUGGCUACUGUCCUGGGAGCUGGCAGGGUCUGUGAAGGCCUCCUGGGUGGAGUUGGAGACCGACAGCGUCGCCACCACGCUAUCCUGACUGCGCUCUGCCAGGAGUCACAAACACAGGUCAUGUGGCCAACUCUGAGCCUGGCCUGGGUGCCAGUCACACCCAUGGACCAUCCUCUGGGUUCUCAAGGGAUCAAUCACAAAGCUGUUAAGGUUACCAUUCAGGAAUAAAAUAGGUAUGUAGAUCCCAUGAAAGGGGGUAAAGUGUGCAUAGCAGUGUAAAAUCUCUAUACACACCAGGAUCAUCAGCAGGAGAGCAAUUACAGUAAUCGUACAAACAUAAAAAGCACUAGACCUUAGUCAGCACCCAAGCCAAUGAAAAACUAGGUGCCUGCCUUCUUCCUAAGCACAUUGUGCAUCCUCAGCAAGAAGCUGCAGUCUUCUGCAGACAAUAAUCAAAUUAGCAGGAGGGAAACACAGUUCUAUGAAAGGAGCUCUGGGGACUUGUUAAAGGCCUCCUGUAAUUACAGCCCAAAAAUGUAGCCGAUAGAGGUGUUGCAAGAAGGAUUGCCCCUUAAAGAGAAGUGUGGGGUAGUGACUAAGUUGUGAACAUUCCGGGACACCUUUACAUUGAAUAAUUGUUUCCCCUAAAAUUGUGCAUAUCAAUAAUGUCCUGAAGAUGGAUUUAAGAGCAGUUUGUGGGAGGGACGUAAGUUCAGUACAAUUCAGGGAUGCCAGCUACAUUGGACACCUGGGAAGGCAGUAAUCAUGUCAAGUUCUGGGGUGACUUAAAAGAUAUCGGGAGUUUGUUUUAAAACACACAAAAAAAAACUCCAUUCCUGAUUUGACAAUAGUACUCCUCGUAAUUGCUGACAGAUUGCUUACUGUUAGCAUGACGUGUUUUAAACAGGCAUUAAGCAAGAAGGGCUUGGCACCCACUGGCAAACCUGCCUGCACAUGGUGGUUCAUUUCUGCCAUCUAGAUCAAAGGAUGUGUGCCAAUGAGGUGCCAACCACAUUCUGACUGAUUUGGCAUUAUAUCAUCAUAUCAACUGAACACAAUUUCAAUAGAAAACACUAACUAUGGCAUAUCUUUCAAAUACAAUCAAAUAGGUUUAAGAUCUUUGUUGCAAACGUUAGCCAACACCAAAACACAAGUCAAAUAGUAGCCCACGGUCCAAGUCACACCAUUCAAUGGAUUGUUUGAGAGAGGACUGAAUUUGUCCAGUGACAGCAUUAUUCCUUGGGAUCUACAUGCAUAUAAACGACAAAGCAGGUGGCAGAAACAAGCAGGCAGGAAAGAAUGACAGAAACGGGCAACAUGGCUGCAGUAUUCAGACAUUCAAGCUACAGGGCAACAUGGGCAAUAUGGCUGCAGUAUUCAGACAUUCAAGCUACAGGGCAACAUGGGCAAUAUGGCUGCAGUAUUCAGACAUUCAAGCUACAGGGCAACAUGGGCAAUAUGGCUGCAGUAUUCAGACAUUCAAGCUACAGGGCAACAUGGGCAAUAUGGCUGCAGUAUUCAGACAUUCAAGCUACAGGGCAACAUGGGCAAUAUGGCUGCAGUAUUCAGACAUUCAAGCUACAGGGCAACAUGGGCAAUAUGGCUGCAGUAUUCAGACAUUCAAGCUACAGGGCAACAUGGGCAAUAUGGCUGCAGUAUUCAGACAUUCAAGCUUCAGGGCAACAUGGGCAAUAUGGCUGCAGUAUUCAGACAUUCAAGCUAUAGGGCAACAUGGGCAAUAUGGCUGCAGUAUUCAGACAUUCAAGCUACAGGGCAACAUGGGCAAUAUGGCUGCAGUAUUCAGACAUUCAAGCUACAGGGCAACAUGGCUGCAGUAUUCAGACAUUCAAGCUAUAGGGCAUAGGGGGGAAACAACAUGCUAAAGGAUGUUUUUACAGUAUAGUGCAAAGAUAUUUUGCAAAGCCAUUUGUAAUGAAUGGUCAGUUUACAUUCAAUAUACACAACCAACAGCAUUUAUUUAAUGACAUUGUUUCACUUAUUGCAAAUAUUUGUGUUUACCCUUGACGUCUUUGCAACAAUGUAAACAACUACACAAUGCUGAUGUCAAUAUCAUUUCAGUUAUGGGACAUGCUGGAGAAAAGGUAACCGGAGCCAAUUGUACAUUCCUGUAUGUAGCCCUAAGUUUCUAUAAGGGAAAAGCUACUAAGAAUACUGCUUCAUACAUUGCAUUUCAGCUUUUUUCAGGAACAUAUUAGGCAAAUCUGUCCUAAUUUCCUACUAAGUAUGAACUGACACACACAAACACACUUUUUUUGUACAGUGUUGUUACGAUUGCUUCCCCUCUAAAAUAUGCUCUUAAAAAUGGUUCAUACAUUUAAACGUAGGUUUAGUGCACUUAGAUGUGGCACAUUUUUAAAAGAUGCAGAAUACACACUGUGGUGAAGGAGACAAUCAGCUCAACAACAACAAAUUGGGGGUUAAGAGUAAACUGCUUGUGUCUGUCAUCACACUACUGUCAUGCAAUGUUAAGUGUUAAAAUGUAGAGCAAAGUUGCAUCAGUGCAUUAACUGAUAUCAUAUUGUGUUGGUAAUUCAUUUUGAAAAGCUACCCCUUUCAUAGUGAAGGAUUUUUAACCAUGCUCUUAUAUUGUCUGUCAAUAUCAUCUAUAUUUGGACAGUAUAGGUCUAGUAAAGUAGAAUAAUUUAAAUGACUCUUUACAAGGUGAGUGAUUCACCCCACUCUAGCAUUUUAAAACAGGACAUUAAUGUGUACUCUAAAUGCAGCCCCUUCUCGACUGUUCCAACUGACAGGUAACACUCAGCAGCACUAGACUUUGGUUUAGUAAUGAAUCUGCACACAGUGAGAGGCAUAUUACAGAAACCAGUUAAAGUGUCAGAAUAGCUACCAAACGUUCUUUGACACAUAAUAUUUAUAUCAAGACAAGCUUAGGACAAGUAAACUGCCUCCCUCUAUAAGUGUCCUGUCAGUGUGACAAAAUCUUAAAUUCAGCUCAGUCGUUCCAAGUGAACCUGUAGUGAGAUGUCAUUGCCAGGACAAUGCAGCAACUGUUCCCUGGGAUCAGGUAAAACCUCUCAAUGGAAGCCUGGCUGUGUCUUGCCUGUGGCUCUGUGUUGGUCAUAUGAGUCUAGAGUCAACACACUAAAAGCCUGCUGUGUCCAGAACAGAGCUCUCUUUUACUGGCCAUUUCCCCCUCUAAAAGACAGCACACCUUACAGAGAACAUAUCGAUAUCCAAGUCUAAAGCGAUAGCCAGCAAGCUUGCAUUCUUUCAUAAAAUAAUUGCCCUGCUAUGAUUUGAUUAGUAAGAAGUCAUCAGAAAAAAACGAUGAAAUCAAAAGUUAAAAAAGGUCCAGCGCAUCCGGUUUUAUCUCAAUAUCAAAUCAUUUCUGGGUAACAAUUAAGUAUCUUACUGUGAUUGUUUUCAAUUCAAAUGAGAAACAAAAAUUGCUUUGUAGCAAAGAGCAAUUUCUCAAUCAAGAAUGCUGCUAGGACUGUCUGGGAGUGAUCUGAAAUGGGAGGGGAAAAUUGAAAGUUAACUAUUAUUGGCAGGGAGGUUUGGAACUCUUUCUUAUUGGCAGGCCACCAAAAUAGGCUGCAAUUGCAGGCUCUUUUUAAACAACUCUCACACUAAAAAGGAAAUUAUCACAUUAUUAUUCCCACCUCAUGGUGCUCCCGAGUGGCGCAGCGGUCUAAGGCACUGCAUCCCAGUGUUAGAGCAGUCACUACAGACCCUGGUUCGAUUCCAGGCUGUACAACCAGCCGUGAUUGGGAGUCCCAUGGGGCGGUGCACAAUUGGCCCAGCGUCAUCCAGAUUUGGCCGGGGUAUGCCGUCAUUGUAAAUAAGAAUUUGUUCUUAACUGACUUGCCUAGUUAAAUAAAGGUUAAAUAAAAUAAAUAAUUUUAAAAAGUGGAAAUAGAUAUAUAUAUAAAAAACAGGAAAAUCAAGUUGACUGCAUUGGUCUUUACAAUUAGAAGCUAAAACCAAAACUUUAUCAAAUCAAAAGCCAAGAUCUAUUCUCAAUCUAAAUUGCUUCAUAAGAGGUGAUGACAACCGUCACUCUCCUCACCCCAACCUGGGCUUGAACCAGGGGCCCUCCGCACACAGCAACAACAGCCAUCAUCUAAGCAUUGUUACCUAUCGCUCCACAGCCCUUGCAGAGCAAGGGAAACAACUACUUCAAGGUCUCAGAGAAAAUGAUAUCACCGUUUGAAAUGCCACUAGCGCGCAGUGCUAACUAGCUAGCCAUUUCACACUGGUUACACAUGGAUACAAGCUCUGCUGAAGUUACAAUAGAAAACAAUGUCAUCAAAAGGCAAGGGAAAUGGGAAAGAAAGGAAGAGGGUGACCAGCACAAACUUCUACAUAUUAACACACACAGGCCAGGACGCCCUCUACCAAACUCUACCUUCACACCUCUGUUUGCCUGAACUAAAUGCCAUUGCAUUUUUAUAGAGCAGUAAAACAAUGUCCAAAUAACCUGAGAUACCAUAUUGCCCAAUUCCCCAAGACAUCCCAAUCACCCAGUGCUAGUUGAGUCAUCACUGGAACCAGAGCCAUUAUCAUCAUAGUGAUUAUCCUCAUAACAAACACCACUCCCCAGCCCGGUGAAGAAUGGGCCCAACCCCAGAGAACCAGAGUCUAGGACUGGGACUGUACCAUCAGCUCCUCCUCAUACUGUUUCCUCGUCUGCUGCAGCCGGAGGGUGUUACGUUUGGUCUGCUGCAGCCGGAGGGUGUUACGUUUGGUCUGCUGCAGCCGGAGGCUGUUACGUUUGGUCUGCUGCUGCCGGAGGCUGUUACGUUUGGUCUGCUGCAGCCGGAGGGUGUUACGUUUGGUCUGCUGCAGCCGGAGGGUGUUACGUUUGGUCUGCUGCAGCCGGACGGUGUUACGUUUGGUCUGCUGCAGCCGGAAGGCUGUUACGUUUGGUCUGCUGCAGCCGGAGGCUGUUACGUUUGGUCUGCUGCUGCCGGAGGCUGUUACGUUUGGUCUGCUGCUGCCGGAGGCUGUUACGUUUGGUGUAAUUGUGGUCGACCAGAGUGGCCGUGUAAGGUGGGGACGUCAGACCUGCAGCGUUGGAGGGGAGGGAGGCCCCAUGAACAUCCAUCACACACAGAUGACACACAGCAGUGGGAGUCCUCGUCCAUCAUGGAGAGGGGCUUCUCCCUGAGGUGAGAGAGGGGGUGGGGACAAAACAAAAGGUUGGGCCAGAGGGGGAGAAUUAUGUUUUUCCUUUUGGUUUGUAGUCGAGUCACAGAAUGAGUUUUAUAAGACAGAGCAUAGAUCCCAGGCAAAGGUUGAGGUCCCUCACUUUUCAUUGGACCUGGGCCUGCCCUUCUCUUCUCUUCUCUUCCCCCCCUGGCAAAGGGUCCAGUGGCCACCUCAGCCAGGAUGUUGAAGAAGAUCAUGCUCCAGGUCUGGUUCCUCAGACUCAUUUACAUUACAUUUAAGUCAUUUAGCAGACGCUCUUAUCCAGAGCGACUUACAAAUUGGUGCAUUCACCUUAUGACAUCCAGUGGAACAGCCACUUUACAAUAGUGCAUCUAAAUCUUUUAA